rnacentral:rRNA from 1 species
GACGAACGCUGGCGGCGUGCUUAACACAUGCAAGUCGAGCGAGGCCCCUUCUUCGGGAGGGUGUUCUAGCGGCGAACGGGUGAGUAACACGUGGGCAACCUGCCCCUGGCUCUGGGAUAACUCCAAGAAAUUGGGGCUAAUACCGGAUAUGACCGCUGACCGCAUGGUCUGGUGGUGGAAAGAUUUAUCGGCUGGGGAUGGGCCCGCGGCCUAUCAGCUUGUUGGUGGGGUAGUGGCCUACCAAGGCGACGACGGGUAGCCGGUCUGAGAGGGUGACCGGCCACACUGGGACUGAGACACGGCCCAGACUCCUACGGGAGGCAGCAGUGGGGAAUAUUGCGCAAUGGGCGAAAGCCUGACGCAGCGACGCCGCGUGGGGAUGACGGCCUCGGUGU